rnacentral:lncRNA from 1 species
CUCACUAUUGGGAUAAACCGUAAUCGUACCCCUUCCUAACUGCCAAAGUGUCAUGGCCGCCGUCGGGACCUAUUGUGCUGACAUUUACAAUGUUUACAUAUAGAAAAGUUUGUUUUUUUCUGCUUAUAAUGCCGUUUUCUAAAGAUAUUAGUGAACAAAAUCGAUUUGCUAACAAUAUUUAAUAUAUUUUAAAUGUGCUAAAAUUGGAUUCAACAGCAAAAGUCGCAUAAAUAACAUAUAAAUGACGAAUUUGUUUACCUAUUACAAAUGGGGUUAUGUGGUUGUAACUGUUUAUUUUGGGAAUAAAAUGAAAAUGAUCAAUUAAACGACUGGAAAACUAUAGUGAAGUGAAGAACAUCUUGAAGUUCCAAUAAUGUUUCAAGAUGAGAUAAAUCGAAAUAAUGGUUGUAUGUUAGAAGGACAGAGAAUACGAAGAAAUGUUAUUGCUGCAUACUUAGUGUAGUGAAAUACAAACUUCAAACAUUAUAAUAUAUUUUUUUAUUUCAAACAUUUCAUAUGAUUAUGAAAGAACAUCUUCCUCUUUAAAACAAUGAAGAAGUGAAGAACAUAAUAAAGUUCCAACGAAAAUGAUUCCAGAUGAGGAAAAUCGAAAUAAUGGUUGUAUGUUACGUGUAUAGAGAAUACGAAGAAAUGUUAUUGCUGCAAACUUAGUGUAGUGAAUUAAAAACUUACUGUCAAAUACAAAUCAAUUUAUUUAAUACUUUUAUAAUAUAUAGUGGUACAAUUUUAUAUGUGUUCAAAUAAAAAUAUUAAUAAAUAAAAUACAAUAAACACAAAUCAUGUAUAUCUUACAAUGAAUUACAAAAUCAAAAAUUAAUUACAAAAAUAUCAAAAUAAAUCUAAAAUAUUAAAAAGUAACCCAUAAUUUUUAUAGUACCUACAUACUUUGGUUGGUACUCUAAUAAUUUGGAAAUCCAUUAAAGUUUGUAGAUGGAAAUUGCAGGUAUCUAAAAAAUAUAUAAAGUAACUCAACAAUCUCUUUUCAAUUAGGGUUGCAGUUGAUAAAGAUGAAUGACCCUUGCUCGGGAAAUCAAAUGUAUCUAAAAAAAAUUAAGUAACAGCUUUCUAACAAAACAAUCUUAGCACUAAACGGAAACAAAGAUACUGGUAAGUAUUAAAACAUUUUUUGAAAAAUCUUUCUGAAAGUGAAAAUAAAGACUACUCUCUAUGGGAACAACUAAAACUGGGUAUGCUUUACAAAAAAAUGUAUCCAGAACAAACUUCUUCUCUAUAAGGCAAUACUACUACAAGUCUGGAUGUACAGGAUUUAAUUCUGGGGAACUGCCAGUAACACAUAAUAUGCAAAGACUACAAAGAUUCCAAUCCAAAGUCUUUCAUGAUGUCCGAUUUUUUUAGUACCACUACCAAAUAUCACGCUAAACUUAAAAUUCUUACAAUGAAGAUAGCUAAAGCUUGAGUACACAUAGAUAGAUCCAACCAAAUAAAUAAAAACAAUUAAUGUAUGUAAAAUGUAUGUUAGUCUUCUUCCACUUGCAGAAGAUAUUUUCAGUUGUUUGUGCCACUGUGAACUUAAGAUCUCUAAUAUUAACCGAUGAUAAAUUUAUGAAAACUGAUUUUAAAUAUUAAAAACUUUCAGAGAUAUUUCAAUUUUCGAAACAUCUUAUAAAAGAGUGAAAAAUAUUCAGAGACACCUUACAGCCAUAAACCAGUAAAACUAAAAUAUUUAAUGUUUUUGUAUAAAUUAAUAUUAAUAUUUAUGAACUUUUUAAAUAUAUCUUUAAAAAUUUUAUGAUAAAUAAAAUGUUUUUGAGUAAAGGCAAUAUUUUUUUUUGUAUGGUAAUAGAAAAGAUUAAUAUUUGAAAUCAUAUACAGCAUCACAUUUUAUAAAUUAUAAUCUUUUUAUUAUAAAAAUAGUAAUACCGUGUGUCUACGGAUGGGGUGCCCAAGAGGAAAAACUUUUUUAUUUUCAAUUUUAGCGAAAAAUGUCAUUCUUGAUAAAAACUUUUGCUUGUUCUAAAACCCCAUAAAAUGAACUAAAAUUCAAGUUUUUCAAAUCCUGCUUAUUUUUUUAGCCAAUUUUAUGUAAAUCCCUAUAAAUUUUUGCACUAAGUUCGAAAUUGUAACAAUAAUAACUUGGGAGAACAACCCUUUCACUUCUCUGGAUUACGAAGCCAGACUUUGUCGUUCUCCUUGAAUCAUCCAAUUAUUUAUUAAUUAAAUAAUUAUUAAUACAACAAUUUUAAUAAUGAAAUUUAUCACUAGAUAAAUUCUUUAUUGAUAGCUUAACAUUGUCAAAAAAAUUGACAAUUCGCAAAUGAUUUAUCGAAGUUGAUAGUUACUAAGCUACAUUGUGGCUUGGCAACACUAGAUUAUUGUUAAGAUUUCAAACUUAGUGCAAAAAUUUACAUAAAAUAGGGAUUUACAUAAAAUUGGCUACAAAAUUAAGCAGGAUUUAAAAAACUUGAAUUUUAUUUCGUUUUAUGGGGUUUUAGAACAAGCAAAACUUUUUAUCAAUAAUGACAUUUUUCGCUAAAAUUGAAAAUAAAAAAGUUUUUCCUCUUGGGCACCCCAACCGUGGACACACUGUAUAUAAUUAUAAUACUAAAAUCACAAUAAAGAUGCACUAGAAAGAAACAAACACAAGACAUGAUGAAUGUUAUGAGGAGCACUCACAAAUCAUGAUUUACAAAGUUUAUACAUUGUAAAUCAUGAUAUAUUUGUAUCAUUCAACAUGUCUUGGGUUGUUUAUUUCUGGUGCAUCUUUAUUGUGAGUUUAGUAUAAGAGAAUUACAAGUUUUAUGUUAAAUCUUCUGAAUCAAAUUUUUGUUAGGUAUCAUGUCACUCUUACUAAUUUUAUCCCAUAAACACUUUGAAAUAAUACAUUUUUUAGUUCCAUGACUGUUAUCAAUUGUUGGAUAUCAUAUUGGCUACCAUAUUCACUAUUGUGGCUUUAUUGACAGCAGCUCUAACUAAUGAUGAUGGAGUCGAUUUUCCAUACUAUGGUCUUAGAUUGUUCAGCUAUGAUUGUGAGAUUCUACCAGAACCACAUUUACCUUGGAUCUUUCUCUGAAUUAUCAAAUGCAAAAGUUCAUAUUUUUUAGGGUGUUUCAUACCUAAGUAUUAUUGACCUAAGUAUUCCAGCUUGUGUCUCUUUAGUCAAAUGGAAAUUAUUAUAUGAAACUCUACAAGAACACAUUCAUAUUAUAAUCAAUUAAGUAUAUUAAUUUUAAUCACAAAUGUUUAUUGGUUGAGAGAGUGACUUUUUUACUUAUGCUCAAUCAAAUAUUUUUACUAUUUUCUGUUAGUUUUUUAAUAGUUAUUUAUGAUAUAAGUGUUAAAAGUACACAUUUAAGGCACGCAUGUGAAAGUCUGCAAUUCACAUGAGUGCCUUAAAAAUGUACUUUUUAACACACAUAUCAUACAAUAUUUUUUCUGUAAACGUAAUUACAGAGUAAUAUCUACAAAAACUUUUUUCUACAGCCGUGUUAAAAAUUCAAUUUUUAGCACUCCAUAAGAGCAUUAAAAAUGCUACUUUAAGGCACAAGUGCUUUAAAAUUUUUAUGGCACUGCAAUUCGUAUUGACCGUAUAGACAAUUUUGAUGUAAUGUCACAAAAAUAUAAAAAUGGAAUGUCAGUCAAGUUCAAGUAAAAGUUUUUGUAGAUAUUGUCCUGUAAUUACGUUUGUAGAAAAAAUAUUGUAUGAUAUGCGUGUUAAAAAGUACAUUUUUAAGGCACUCAUGUGAAUUGCAGAACUCGCACUCAAUUUUUAGCACUCCAUAAGAGCAUUAAAAAUGCUACUUUAAGGCACAAGUGCUUUAAAAUUUUUAUGGCACUGCAAUUCGUAUUGACCGUAUAGACAAUUUUGAUGUAAUGUCACAAAAAUAUAAAAAUGGAAUGUCAGUCAAGUUCAAGUAAAAGUUUUUGUAGAUAUUGUCCUGUAAUUACGUUUGUAGAAAAAAUAUUGUAUGAUAUGCGUGUUAAAAAGUACAUUUUUAAGGCACUCAUGUGAAUUGCAGAACUCGCUAUCGCUCAUUCUGCAAACUUUCACAUGCGUGCCUUAAAUGUGUACUUUUAACACUUAUAUCAUAAAUAACUAUUACUUGAACUGACAUUCCAUUUUUAUAUUUUUUUGACAUUACAUCAAAAUUGCCUAUACAGUCAAUACGAACUGCAGUGCCAUAAAAUUUUUAAAGCACUAGUGCCUUAAGGUAGCGUUUUUAACGCUUGUAUAGAGUGCUGAAAGUUGCAUUUUUAACACGGUUGUAGAAAAAAUAAAUUUUAUGUAUAUUUUAUCUAAAAAAGUAUUUAAGCACUUAAAUAUUUUUUCAAAAAUAGAAUAUUUUUAUGAACUUCUUUAAUUCUUUUUUAUUUUAACUUUAAUGCAAUCUGUUAUCAUUAUAACAAUAUGACAGAUAUAAAAAAUGACACAGUGGGAACUACACUCAGGGGUGAGAACUCUUUACAUAUUUAUAUUAAUUUAGUCUACAUUACCAUAUUUCUGACUUUUUUACAAAUUAGUAACUACUAUCUACUUUCCAGUGGUGUAGAGAUCUGUAACUUUUCUUAACCCUCUAGUACCCUAGUUUGCCUCAAGGCGGACCAUAAUAAAAAUUUCCAUGCUUACUAUUUAAGUAUUUUAUAGCUGCAAUACCGAAACCAGCCUCUGGACUAGAUCAGAUAAGCAUCCAGCUUUUAAAAGUUUGGGUGAUCAGACAGAUUUUUACCCUAUAAUUUUCAGUUUAGCAUGAUAUUUGGUAGUGGUACUAAAAACAUCGGACAUCAUAAAAGACUUCGGAUUAGAAUCUUAAUAGUUUUUGCAUAUUAUGUGUUACUGGCAGUUCCCCAGAAUUAAAUCCUGUACAUCCAGACUUGUCGUAGUAUUGCCUUAUAGAGAAGAAGUUUGUUCUGGAUACAUUUUUUUGUAAAGCAUGCCCAGUUUUAGUUGUUCCCAUAGAGAGUAGUCUUUAUUUUCACUUUCAGAAAGAUUUUUCAAAAAAUGUUUUAAUACUUACCAGUAUCUUUGUUUCCGUUUAGUGCUAAGAUUGUUUUGUUAGAAAGCUGUUACUUAAUUUUUUUUUAGAUACAUUUGAUUUCCCGAGCAAGGGUCAUCUUUAUCAACUGCUACCCUAAUUAAAAAGAGAUUGUUGAGUUACUUUAUAUUAUUAUAUUUUUUAGAUACCUGCAAUUUCCAUCUACAAACUUUAAUGGAUCUCCAAAUUAUUAGAGUACCAACCAAAGUAUGUAGGUACUAUAAAAAUUAUAUGUAACUUUUUAAUAUUUUAGAUUUAUUUUGAUAUUUUUGUAAUUAAUUUUUGAUUUUGUAAUUCAUUGUAAGAUAUACAUGAUUUGUGUUUAUUGUAUUUUAUUUAUUAAUAUUUUUAUUUGAACACAUAUAAAAUUAUAUCACUAUAUAUUAUAAAAGUAUGAAAUAAAUUGAUUUGUAUUUGACAAUAA